rnacentral:rRNA from 1 species
GACGUAGGGCGCGAGCGUUGUCCGGAUUUAUUGGGCGUAAAGAGCUCGUAGGCGGCUUGUUGCGUCGACUGUGAAAACCCGCGGCUUAACUGCGGGCUUGCAGUUGAUACGGGCAGGCUAGAGUUCGGUAGGGGAGACUGGAAUUCCUGGUGUAGCGGUGAAAUGCGCAGAUAUCAGGAGGAACACCAAUAGCGAAGGCAGCUCGCUGGGACGGUACUGACGCUAAGGCGCGAAAGCGUGGGGAGCGAACAGG